rnacentral:rRNA from 1 species
UAGGGAAUCUUCGGCAAUGGACGAAAGUCUGCCCGAGCAACGCCGCGUGCGCGAAGAAGGUUUUCGGAUCGUAAAACUCUGUUGUUAGAGAAGAACAAGGACGUUAGUAACUGAACGUCCCCUGACGGUAUCUAACCAGAAAGCCACGGCUAACUACGUGCCAGCAGCCGCGGUAAUACGUUGGUGGCAAGCGCUGUCCGGAUUUAUUGGGUGUAAAGCGAGCGCAGGCGGUUUCUUAAGUCUGAUGUGAAAGCCCCCGGCUCAACCGGGGAGGGUCAUUUGAAACUGGCAGCCUUGAGUGCAGAAGAGGAGAGUGGAAUUCCAUGUGUAGCGGUGAAAUGCGUAGAUAUAUAGAGCAACACCAGUGGCGAACGCGGCUCGCUGGUCUGUAACUGACACUGAGGCUAGAAAGCGUGGGGAGCAAACAGG